GUAGGUGGCAAGCGUUGUCCGGAAUUAUUGGGCGUAAAGCGCGCGCAGGUGGCUCUUUAAGUCUGAUGUGAAAGCCCGCGGCUCAACCGGGGAGGGUCAUUGGAAACUGGGGAACUUGAGUGCAGGAGAGGAAAGUGGAAUUCCACGUGUAGCGGUGAAAUGCGUAGAUAUGUGGAGGAACACCAGUGGCGAAGGCGACUUUCUGGCCUGUAACUGACACUGAGGCGCGAAAGCGUGGGGAGCAAACAGGGAUUAGAUACCCUGGUAGUCCACGCCGUAAACGAUGAGUGCUAAGUGUUGGGGGGGUUUCCGCCCCCUCAGUGCUGCAGCUAACGCAUUAAGCACUCCGCCUGGGAGUACGGUCGCAAGACUG
rnacentral:rRNA from 1 species